GGCAGACGGGUGAGUAAUGCAUAGGAAUCUGCCUAGUAGUAUGGGAUAGCCACUAGAAAUGGUGGGUAAUACUGUAUAAUCCCUGCGGGGGAAAGAUUUAUCGCUACUGGAUGAGCCUAUGUUAGAUUAGCUAGUUGGUGGGGUAAUGGCCUACCAAGGCUGUGAUCUAUAGCUGGUCUGAGAGGAUGAUCAGCCACACUGGAACUGAGACACGGUCCAGACUCCUACGGGAGGCAGCAGUGGGGAAUAUUGGACAAUGGGCGCAAGCCUGAUCCAGCUAUGCCGCGUGAGUGAGGAAGGCCUUAGGGUUGUAAAACUCUUUCAGCAGGGAAGAUAAUGACGGUACCUGCAGAAGAAGUCCCGGCAAACUCCGUGCCAGCAGCCGCGGUAAUACGGAGGGGGCAAGCGUUGUUCGGAAUUAUUGGGCGUAAAGGGCAUGUAGGCGGUUUGGUA
rnacentral:rRNA from 1 species